GUGAGUAGUUCAGAGUUUGAUCCUGGCUCAGGAUGAACGCUGGCGGCAUGCCUAACACAUGCAAGUCGAACGAGGUGUACUUGUACACCUAGUGGCGGACGGGUGCGUAACACGUGAGCAACCUGCCCUUUACAACGGGAUAACACAGAGAAAUUUGUGCUAAUACGGUAUGAGACCACAGUACGGCAUCGUACAGGGGUUAAAGUUCAGGCGGUAAAGGAGGGGCUCGCGGCCCAUUAGCUAGUUGGUGAGGUAACGGCUCACCAAGGCGACGAUGGGUAGCCGACCUGAGAGGGUGAUCGGCCACACUGGAACUGAGAUACGGUCCAG
rnacentral:rRNA from 1 species